UAAGGUCACUUUGGCUUGGGGAUGUGCCCUGGCUUGCAUGUCUCUGCACUGAGCCAGGGGCCUCUGCAGCCAGCCAGCUGUCUGAUCUGCUUCCGUCACAUUGCCUUGAGUUCUGUUGUGAACCUUGCUGUUAUCAGAGGGAGACUGGGCAGCUCUCUGGAGGAGGAUUCUGGAAGGUAACUCAUGUAAAUGGAGUCCUGUGGUAUCUGUUCUUUGGUGUCCAGCUUACUUCACCUAGGAUACUGUCCUUCAUGUCCGCCUGUGUGGCAGCACACCCCAGGAUUUCCUGAUCACGUUUCCCCACUCACCCACCGGUGGUCACUGGGCAGCUUCCACACUCGGCUAUCGUGAACAAUGCCUCCAUGAGCAUGGACGGACGGUGCUGUCUGCGACCUGUCUUACGGUUUUGGAUAUGCCUAUUCCCAGCAUUGGAAUUUCCGGAUCGUGUGGCAAUUCUUAUUAUUUUGAGUGGCUGCCACUGUCCCCCACAGGGGUGGCACCACCGUGCCUUCCUACCAGCAAUGCGCAAGGGUUCCGAUUUCUCCACAAACUCGCCAACGCUGCUGUUUCGCUUUUCUUUAUGGGUGGCAGCCAUCCUAAGGGUGGGAGGUGGCAUCUAUUGUGGCUUUGGUGCCUGCAGUUCCAGCCACUCUUCAGAAGACAUUUACUGUAUUCAGAGUCCUGAAAUAAGCGCCCGGGCCCAGAGGGGGCUGAGAGAAAACGGAGGGGAACACGUCUCCCGUGUGACUGCUUCAUGUGCAUCCAUGGCUGUGAGGAGGAGCAGAGGUGGCGAUGACGACAGAACACCUGGCAUUUGCAGAGGGCAUUUAACUCUUCAAAACACUGCCCCAGAAUCAGAGGAGGUGGUGUCCGUGCUGAAAAAAGGUUAUUGCUUAAUUUUUCCCCCUUAAUCUGUAAUUACUCAUGUGCUUCAUGCACCUGGUGGAAGUUAUACUUAACAGCUAAGCAAAUUCUGAUGGCCUAACUGGGUUUACAUUUUCCUAGCUACUCUCUGCAGUUUCCUUAACAUGGGUCUUACUAACCAUUUUUGUAUGUUUUUUUAAUACUAGGUUCUUUGCUAGCAAUAUCCUCAUUUAGAGUACCUUAGAGGUAGGAAAUAAAAUGUCUACGUGUGUUAAAAUAUGAUCACAUUCUUGAAAAAUCAGCUAUUAACAAGAAAAAUGGAAUACAAAAGUCUACAAUCAGAGUAACAGAAGCCGGAGCUGGGAUGUCUUUGGGAAACCAUUGGGUGAUGGGUAGUAUACAAGAAAUUGGUGCAUUUAAAAAUCGAAUGAGGUUUAGUGUUCAUUCCUAUAGAGUGAUUUUUUUUUUCCUCUGACAGGUACACUUCCUGGUUUUCUGCAGUGGGGGUCAAGAGUGGCUCUUACAGUCACAUUCUUAUUCUUUCUGUAAGCUUCUGCCCUCAUCAUGCAGUUCUAAAACUGCCUGGGCCUCUUGGUGGGAAAUAAUACCUUCAGGAAGAGUUUGUCUCUCAACCCAUCAGGACUCGGGAGGUCCCUGCACAGGGGCAGGUUGGCGAUCCACUGCUUUCCCAGGUGUUGGGAGUGCGUCAGGGUGGCAGCACUCAGGGACCUUGUGUGAUCAGAGAGGCCAUAGUGUGGGGUGCUUGGAGCAUUAGAUUUUUCCAGAAAUCCUGGAAGGAUCCAUUCAAGAAAUGCGAGUUUAUCAUCCAUGUUAUAUAGAUUGAAUCUUCUCCCCGCAAAAGAUGUGGUAAGUCCAGAGCCCUGGUACUUGUGACCUCCUUUGGAAAUUGGGUGUUUGCAGAUGUGAUCAAGUUAAGAUAAAAUCAUAAUAAAUCAGAGUGGGCCCUCAUCCAGUGGCUGCUGUCCUUCUCAGAACAGAAGAGACACAAGAGAGGACAGGGCCUCGAAGGUGGAGGCAGAGGCUGGAGGAUGCAUCUUCAAGUGAAGGACACCAAGGAUCUGUGGGGAUCCACCAGAAGCAGAAGAAGGCCUGGUCAGAUUUCCCUCAAAACCCCAGGGACACCUGGAUUUUGGAAUUUCAGCUUCCAGAGCUGUUGGAUACUGAAGGCCUGCUGUUCUAAGCCAUCUGGCCUGCGGGAAUCUGCUAUGGCCGUCUUCAGGAAUUCAGACAGUUACGAGAGGCCUCCUGGCCUGGAGGAGCCCUGGGUGAUGGGACAGCACUCUUGUCCUUGAGGAGGUCACACCCUGAUGGAGAAGCAGAUUGUGUAAAGGGGUCAAGUCACAGAAGAUGGUGGCUUUGGAGCCCCACUUGGCUUCCUCUCUAGAGAGUUUGGUUUUCUUGUCUUUACUGUGCCAGACACUAGUGUCCUUCUCCUGGGGUUUCUUUAGGAAGAUUUUAAUACGCUGACAGAUUUGAAAGAGCUUGUCCAGUGCGCGGCCUGCUGACGACCUCGGUGAACACUUGUCCCCAGAGGCCCAGACCAGUUUCCUCUCCUACUGAGAUCGUUUAGUGUCAGUCUCUCUCCUUUCAAGUUCAUGCUGUUAAAUUUUCUAUUCGUAUUGUGUUUAUUUAAGGAACCCUAUGUUGGGUGAAACCUCAUAGCAUUUAGGUUUUGGCUCAGUGCAUUGGAACACGCUCAAGGGUAUUUAUAGCUAAAAACGUUUGUGCACCCCAAACCACAUUAUUUUACAUCUCCUGACACUUGAAGGAGCUCUGGUUUGGUUUGGAUCUAUAAGCCUUCCUGUGGUGUGGAGGAGAGCGAAUUUUCCAACGUCUUCUGCAUCUCGGUAACUAUCUUGGUCCUACCCCAUGCACUGCGCCCAGACUGUGGUCUCUGUCAGGUGAGGCACGUGGAGGCCCCUGAUGCUCACAGGGUGGGCAGAUACUGUCUGAGGAUCCCUCUUGGCCAUUCUUAGCCCAUAUUGGGCAAGAGCCUUUCAGAGCUCACACCCACCUUUCUCUGGAUUUAUCUCAAGUGUCUCAACAGACAUCUGUGUUGGGGAAAAAAAUGUUUUUCAUAUUUGGGUCUUGGCAGGACCUGGACACAGAAAAUAAAUACCUCUUUCAGUUUCUUCUAUACACCUGCAUAGAAUCAAGCAAGGAUUUAUGAAGUUUGUUCCUUUUGGGGGAAAAGAAAAAAGAAACCCACUUUAUUCCCAGCCAACACCCUGGCCUCCAUGUGCAUUUCAGUAGUAGCUGAGAGCCAGGUGAAUGAGGGGGCUGCAGGAGCACCCAAGUUUGCUAAUGGGGAACCGACCCGAGGCUGGAGUAGAUGGCGGGGCAGGAAACAUUUGGAGAAAUGAGAGCUGCGUUUUUAUUCUUUGGUUGCCAGAAAGUCAAAAGCAAAGCUGGAAUUUUGUGGUUCUGGCACUUUCUGAGCCUCCCAGUCAUUUUCACAGAUGGUUGUGGUUUAGGGCUAAGAUGCUUCAUCCGCCAGAGGGAAAGAGGCCCAGCGAAUGUGCCCCCGCUGCCCACGCGGAUGCCAAAGUCUACGCUGCUGCCAGAGAAAAUGACAACGUGGAGAAGACGGUUCUAAAGCACCAAUUAGGAUGCAAAAUUGAAUGGUACGAUUACUGUGCGACACCGGGACUUGAACUUUCCUUUACAUCAUGUCACCUUGGGAGUCCCAGCUGUCUGUCCGUCAGCUUCCUGGAGCCAUGCCCAUCAUGGCCACUGGACAUUGGGACAGUUUUUCCUGCACAACAAUGAGUUUGCUCUUGUCAUUUGAGAAAACAGACCGGGGACCUGAGACGUGCCAUCUGCCAAGGGCCUGGGGUGCAGUGGGGAGAGGCAAAGGUGAAGCCCACACCAGCUCUCCUCUACUGAGGGUGGAAACGCUGACCACAUCUUUCUGCGUCAGCCCCUUUCCUAGUCGACCUUUCACCCCUUGCCAUCUCUCACCUCCUCUCCUCCGACUCUCACCUGCGUCCUGCCCACACCCUCCCCGGCCAAGCGGGAGCUGGUCCACGUGGUCAGGAGAGCUGGGUGCGUCAUCACCGUCCCCUCACCCAGCAAGACCAUGCUCUGCAAGAAAGUCCCUCCUGGGAAAGGCCUUGGCCACUUCCUCUCUUGAGUCUAGAGACUGGCUGUUUUCCUACCAAGCCUCUCCUCACUGACCAGCACCCAGCUCCACUGUCGCUGCCUCUGGGAAACCCUUUCCAUUUCUCACAGCGCACGAGCCAUUUCUCCAUGAUGGUCUUGACGCUUUGUGUUCUAGUACUCAUCUCAGCCUGGACUGGGGUCCUCCAAAGAGCAGAACUUCAUUAUCCUGAUGGCGUUCUUAGUAUCUGCUAGAACCUGGUGCACAGAAAAGAGUCAAUAAUUCUGGUUCUUUGAGAGAACAUUUUGUCAGAUGACAAAAUUAUACAGUGUUAUAAGUAGGCCCCGAGGCUAGACACUUUCCUGUCAUAUCCCAUUUGUUUGCAUGGAUAUAACUUUCUGUCAGGCCCGUGUCCUGAGGCCUAGCACGGCACACUCAGCUCUCUGUAUCCGUGAGAUCUGCAUCUACAGAUCCUGACAACCCCAGCUUGGAAAUAUUUUUAAGAAUUGUAUCUGAACUGAACACAUACCGGCUUUUCUCUUCCCACGAUUCCCUAAACAAUUCAGUGUAACAACUAUUUACAUGGCAUUUACAUUGUGCUAAGCAUUAUACGCAAUUUAGAGAUGAUUUAAAAUAUAAGGGGGAUGUGUGUAGGAUCUAUGCAAGUUUGUGCAUUUUAUAUAAGGCACCUGAUAUCCUCAGAUUUUGGUGUCUGCAGGUCUCCUGGAGCCAGUGAGGCUAGGUCUCACCAGGUUCACGUUUGAGAAAAAUGGUUCCUAUUAAAUUUAUGUCAUGAUUUUC